rnacentral:lncRNA from 1 species
AUGGUUCGCACGCAAAUAUUCCUAAUUUUAAAAACUGCACUAAUUUUGCGAGAUAUAAACAGAACCAAAAAUAUUGUGAUUGUUCUAUCAGGAGAGUAAAUUUAAUCGUACAGUACGGUGGAGCGCGAUCGCCAAUCGUGCCAGUUCUACUUGCUUCACCUGAUGUUAGCUUCUUUAGAGACACUUCCUAAAAAUGCUGUAACUGCUAAAACGCUGUGAGUUGCUAAUAAAGGGUGCCUUUUUAUUUUUAACGGCAUUUUCGGGUUUAAAUUCCGAAUGAAAAUAUAAACGAAUGAGAAAAUAGCGACCGGAAGGAACAAACACUUGUCGAUUUCAGUCACGCUAUAUGUCGAAAAUAUCCAAUAUUCACGGCCUCCGUACGAACUCUAAAUACAAUAACCCAAACUAAUUUUUUUAUAUGUUCUAGAAGAACAUAUAAUUAGUUAAUGACGUAAGUUUCGUGAGGAAAAAAUCUGGGGCACUUAGUUAAAAUGUUUUUUGCGUGGCAACGGUACAUCGUAAUUUUCGCUAUUUGUGAAUACCAUACGAUUCUAAAUAUCAGCUGUCAGGUUUUAAUUAAUAGCUAAAAUUAUUAUUUUAUGCCAAAUCAAGUCUCAAACAUCUCUUCUAUCGACUUACAGACGUAUAGUUUUCACAUCUUUUUCCUACUUUGCAUGCGUUACUUGUUUUUGAACUUGUUUGAUUCAACUGAAAAUUUGCAUAUUUUUGAGGUCGCCGACAGCCGAACGGUUUUUCUCGGAUUUCUCGGAAUUUUAACGGUUUUUGGAAAACAAACCAUAUCACGUUUGUUUACUUGCUAAUGCCUUCCAGCAAACCAAAAAUGAGCAAAAUCGAAAUUUUGAAUGUGUCCGCGAAUUCUCGAUUUUGCUCCAUUUUAGUGGAC